rnacentral:lncRNA from 10 species
GACCUGGCGACUUUUACUGCCCCUCAGGCGCGGGGCGGCGGUCGUCAACUACAGUUCCCAUCAUGCCACGAUCCGCCUGGAGUAAUUCUCCACGCCUAGUGAGAACGAGGAGAAUGCCGGGACCCUUCCGCGCGCGGCUCUUUGCGCGCCGCGCUCAUGUUGCUGGGCACAAAGCUCCGCCCCCACAAGGCCGCCUCUGGGCGGGGAAGAGCGGGGGAGCGUCCCUGGCACCUUGCGCCCUAUCAGGAGGAAGAGGGCGGGCCUUCCUGGGAGCGCACCUCGCUGCCUGUAGCUAGAAGAUCAGAAAAGGAACAACCGCGAGUGCUUUGCAGUCUCGCUUUUUUGGGGGUCUUCUCAAAUAGCCACCUUCAUUCGCUCUUCCCAUGCUCUGCUUCAGUUUUAUAAAUAGCAUUUCUACCUGA